rnacentral:misc_RNA from 1 species
AAGUCGUAACAAGGUAUCCGUAGGUGAACCUGCGGAUGGAUCAUUACCAAAGAACCAUCUUCUACGUACUGUGAACCGUUCUGAACGAUGUUGGGCUGUAAGGCCCGGUGUCAUUAAACACGUAACAAUCAUAGACUAAAGUCAAGAGUUGCUUGAAUCAUAAACAACUUUUAGCAAUGGAUCUCUUGGCUCUC